UUAAAUGUGAAGAUAAGGAAAGUAUUUUUCAGAUAACUCAAAGAGAGUCUCGACUGGUGGAAAGAGACAGUGAACAUGGAAAAGAAAAUGGCCUUUGAACAAAUUGAUCGAACAAGUUAAGGUCAAUUCAGGUGCGCCUGUUAUAGCGCCUCAGUAUGUUUGUACUGAAAGAGUGGACUUAUUAUAUAAGUCAAUUGAAGGUGGUACCGCGAAAGUUUAAAACUCUCGUCCUUUUA
rfam:Enterococcus haemoperoxidus ATCC BAA-382 genomic scaffold acvJN-supercont1.3, whole genome shotgun sequence.